UUUGCCACGUCAGCUUAUCGUUAGCUUAUC
rnacentral:piRNA from 1 species